rnacentral:rRNA from 1 species
CUGCUGCCUUCCGUAGGAGUUUGGACCGUGUCUCAGUUCCAAUGUGGGGGACCUUCCUCUCAGAACCCCUAUCCAUCGUUGUCUUGGUGGGCCGUUACCCCGCCAACUAACUAAUGGAACGCAUCCCCAUCCCAUACCGAAAUUCUUUAAUAAUCCCAUCAUGCGGUAGGACUAUAACAUCGGGUAUUAAUCUUUCUUUCGAAAGGCUAUCCCCGAGUAUGAGGCAGGUUGGAUACGUGUUACUCACCCGUGCGCCGGUCACCAUCAAAAGUUUG